AGCGGCGAGGGUCCACCCGUUCCCAUCCCGAACACGGAAGUUAAGCUCGCCAGCGCCGACAAUACUUGGCUGGAAGCGGCCCGGGAAGAUAGGUCGAUGC
rnacentral:rRNA from 1 species